AUUGAACGCUGGCGGCAGGCCUAACACAUGCAAGUCGAACGAGUGGCGGACGGGUGAGAUAUGUCUGGGAACCUGCCUGAUGGAGGGGGUUAACUACUGGAAACGGUAGCAAUUACCGCAUACCAUCGGAUGUGCCCAGCUGGGAUUAGCUAGUAGGUGGGGUGAAGGCUCACCUAGGCGACGAUCCCUAGCUGGUCUGAGAGGAUGACCGGCGAAACGGGAACUGAGACACGGUCCAGACGCCUACGGGAGUAAGCAGUGGGGAAUAUUGCACAAUGGGCGCAAGCCUGAUGCAGCCAUGCCGCGUGUAUGAAGAAGGCCUUCGGGUUGUAAAGUACUUUCAGCGGUGAGGCGUUACCCGCAGAAGAAGCACCGGCUAACUCCGUGCCAGCAGCCGCGGUAAUUC
rnacentral:rRNA from 1 species